rnacentral:rRNA from 1 species
GGGACAUUAGGUUGGUCGUGCCACCGGUACGUACUGGUCUCACUGAUUCCUCCUUCCUGAAGAACCGUAAUGCCAUUAAUUUGGUGUUGCGGGGAAACAGGACUGUUACUUUGAAAAAAUUAGAGUGUUUAAAGCAAGCUAACGCUUGAAUACAUUAGCAUGGAAUAAUGAAAUAGGACGAUCGAUCCUAUUUUGUUGGUUUCUAGGAUUGACGUA